rnacentral:lncRNA from 1 species
AAGAAACAAGGGAUCCCAUUAACAAAAUAAUUAAGUGCACCAGAUCCAAAUGUGGCAAAGUGUAUAUCGACAUGUCUCAAAGAGACUCUACAAGAGGCAGUGUAAGAGGAGAUGUCAGAAGGAGCAUUCUUAAGAAAAAUGCCGAGAGAGAGAGAGAGAGAGAGAGAGAGAGAGAGAGAGAGAGAGAUGAGACCCUUGAGUGUUGAUGAUGGGGUAGAAGAGAGUUGAGCUCGGAGUAUAGGGCUUUCAUCUGAUUCCUCCUGUUC